UACGUAGGGGGCAAGCGUUGUCCGGAAUCAUUGGGCGUAAAGCGCGUGUAGGCGGUUCGGUAAGUCUGCUGUGAAAGUCCAAGGCUCAACCCUGGGAUGCCGGUGGAUACUGUCGGACUAGAGUACGGAAGAGGCGAGUGGAAUUCCCGGUGUAGCGGUGAAAUGCGCAGAUAUCGGGAGGAACACCAAUUGCGAAGGCAGCUCGCUGGGACGUUACUGACGCUGAGACGCGAAAGCGUGGGGAGCGAACAGG
rnacentral:rRNA from 1 species